rnacentral:rRNA from 1 species
CAGUAGCCGCGGUAAUACGAAGGGGGCUAGCGUUGCUCGGAAUGACUGGGCAUAAAGGGCGCGUAGGCGGUUUUGACAGUCAGAUGUGAAAUUCCUGGGCUUAACCCGGGGGCUGCAUUUGAGACGUCAAGACUAGAGUGUGAGAGAGGGUUGUGGAAUUCCCAGUGUAGAGGUGAAAUUCGUAGAUAUUGGGAAGAACACCGGUGGCGAAGGCGGCGACCUGGCUCAUUACUGACGCUGAGGCGCGAAAGCGUGGGGAGCAAACAGGAUUAGAUACCCGCGUAGUCCCUGUCUCUUAUAC